rnacentral:misc_RNA from 1 species
AGAGUUUGGUUGUAGCUGGUCCCUAAUUGACUUAGAAGCAUGUGCACACCUUUCUCUUUCAUCCCAUACACACCGGUGCACCUCAGCGACAGAUAUUUUCUAGGGGGGGAAGGAACUUAUUGGACCUACUCUCUUUGGACUUCUGUCUACUUAAUCUAUAUAAACUCAAUUUAUUUUAAAAUGAAUGUAAUGGAUGUAACACAUCUAAUACUAAGUUUCAACAACGGAUCUCUUGGCUCUCGCAUCGAUGAAGAACGCAGCGAAAUGCGAUAAGUAAUGUGAAUUGCAGAAUUCAGUGAAUCAUCGAAUCUUUGAACGCACCUUGCGCUCCUUGGUAUUCCUUGGAGCAUGCCUGUUUGAGUAUCAUGAAAUCUUCAAAGUCAAACCUUUUGUUAACUCAAUUGGUUCUGCUUUGGUAUUGGAGGUCUAUUGCAGCUUCACACCUGCUCCUCUUUGUGCAUUAGCUGGAUCUCAGUGUUAUGCUUGGUUCCACUCAGCGUGAUAAGUUAUCUAUCGCUGAGGACACCCUGUUAAAAAGGGGUGGCCAAGGUAAAUGCAGAUGAACUGCUUCUAACAGUCCAUUGACUUGGACAAAUAUUCAUUUUAUGAUCUGAUCUCAAAUC